ensembl:snRNA U6 U6 spliceosomal RNA
GUGUUUGCUUCAGCAGCACAUAUGCUAAAAUUGGAAUGAUACAAUGAUUAGCAUGGCCCUUAUGCAAAGAUGACACACAAAUUCAUGAAGCAUUCCAUAUUUUU